CCGAUCCUCCCCGUCGAUUUCACCGCGCUCGGUUCCAACGAGCGGUGGAAGAGGAAAGAAAGAACGGCCGGAGGUCUUCUUCGUCGGCUUGACUUAAGCUCUCCCGCGCUAUUCCCUCCUCUCUGUUUUUUCUCCUUUUUGCUAUAUACGGAAUAUAGAGCAUUAGAAUGUAUUGAUUUUUUGCUAUAGGACGUAGACCGUGUGCAACGUAGAACUUACGCGCGCGUAUAAUAUUUGUCCUCGUGCUAUGGCGUCAAAUAUGUGUGGACAGAGCAAAUAUUUUUCUGACUUACUGCGACGGUGGAGCCAUUUUUUCCGACACCACCGGCGAGAAUGACGGAUAUGCUGCUCUGUGCAAGUAAAAUA